GCAUAUCACAUAUUUUACUCACUACCACAAGUCUGUAAGGAUAAUUAAGGCUACCUUUACUCACAAAAAAAAUAUUAUUUCAUCGGCUUCAGGUUUACAUAGAUUUCCUAUGGUGGGUACGAUCUAUAACUACCACAUAAAAACCAAAUGUUACCUGGAAACUAUAGGAACAAAUUUAAAAAAACAAAACAAACAAGGUUAUGUGCAACACUUACAUCGUCUUUUAACGAAUUGCUCCAUAUUGAGAAAUGGCACUUACAGCAAAGUAUGAAGUAAAAAACAAUCUAAUCACGAAGAGAGUCAAAUUUUAAGGUAGCAAAUUUUAAAAUUUGAAUUUCAAAACGAAACGGUAAACACUGAAUGAAUUGUGCCACACGUCUUGCGUCGCCAGUUUCUCUCCGGGACUUACUUGGCGUUCUUGGAGUCCAACCCAUUUUCUGUAGCCAUCAAUUCCAAAAAAUCAGGGAACGGACUAUCCACAGUAUUUGAGGCCUCACCAUUAUAACAAACCCAUACCCAAACAACAACAAAACAAUAUUAGAAUAUGGUUAAUUUAUGCACAAAGCAGAAAUGAAAUCAUAAAUGAAGUGCGUACACAUUAGUAUCCAGUGCAUUGUGCAGGCCCGUGAGUGUACUUUCCCAUUCAACAUUUUCUGCAGUAGCAGAUUGAUAUUUAUCAAGUUCUGGUAGAAGAAAUACAUACGAUGAAAAAAGAUUUCAUAUAUUAACAAGUGUAUUGCUAUGCAAGAACUUCAUGAAGUUCUUUUGAAGGACUGAUGAUAGCACGAAGGUCAAGUUCCUAUCUACACUAAGGAACAUUUUAUUGAUCAAUUCUUCUUGCAGCUCGUUAGCCAUCAUUCGUUAGUUGAAAGUGUUCAAAUGGCAGUCCAAACUUCAAAGGUGGUUAAUAAAAAAACAAGAUAAAGUUAAAUGCUUGUAUCAUAUUCUCUGUCACCCACGUCUGCAAUCCAAUCGUGAAUGUCAAAAGCAAAUAGCAGAAGUUCAUCAUCCAUAUUUACACAACAUCAGUAUGGGAUUACUUAUUUAAUCAAAGCACAAAUGAAGAAAUUUCCAAGCACAAAAGAACAAAAAAUUUCAUUCCUAGAUAGGAACUGGCGCUUUUUUUUAGAUUUUUCUACCUGCGACAAUGAUGACAUGAUAAGGGGAGACCGGACACAAGACUGAGCCACACUUACCCGUCCGACUCAGCCGUUUAAUGCAGCAGAAUCCGUUAAGAUCGGACUUGGUCAAUAGAAGAACAUCAUAGGCAAUAUACCUAUCCGGAUUGAUGGAUCCUUAAAAAGUGCUGUAAUAAAGUAUGUCGGAUUCGGAUGCUCGAAUCACGAACGAGUCCAUUAGUUCAUUUUAAAUCAACCAGGCGACGUUUCGUGUUUUCGUAUUUGACUCAUCACUAUUUUAACAAGAAUGGGACUAAAGAAGGACACAUUGCUUAGAUGGGUAAACUGUUGUUCAGAUACCAGCACAACCAUUGAGAGAAUAAAAAAUUUAGCUGAUGGAUUGUUUUUUAUCCACAUUCUGAACUUUUUUGAAAGCAGCCCAACAGAUGAUACUUAUCCUUGGCAUCAAACCAUAAACAUUUUAAGAGAACACAAAUUGCAAGAAAAUGUUGUUGAUUUUGAUGCAGCUGCAUCUGGAAAUGAAGAUGAACUGGCAAAAC